AUAAUAAUUAGUCUUUUAAUUGAAGGCUAGAAUGAAAGAUUGGACGUAAUAAAAUCUGUCUCAGUUAAAUUAAUAUUUAAAAUUAAUUUUUAAGUUAAAAAGCUUAAAUUUAAUUAUAGGACGAGAAGACCCUAUAGAGUUUUAUAGUUUAUUUUAAAUUAUUUUUUAAUUUUAAAAUAUUUAUAAUAAAUUAUUUUGUUGGGGUGAUAGGAAAAUUAUUUAAACUUUUUUAAUUUUUGACAUUGAUUUAUGAUUAAUUGAUCCUAUAUUAUAGAUUAUUAGUUUAAAUUACCUUAGGGAUAACAGCGUUAUUUUUUUUUAUAGUUCAUAUUGAUAAAAAAGAUUGC
rnacentral:rRNA from 1 species